AGAGUUUGAUCCUGGCUCAGGACGAACGCUGGCGGCGUGCCUAACACAUGCAAGUCGAACGGAGUGAAACCCUUCGGGAUUUCACUUAGUGGCGAACGGGUGAGUAACGCGUGAGGAACCUGCCUUUCAGUGGGGGACAACAGUUGGAAACGACUGCUAAUACCGCAUAAUGCUUUUGAGCGGCAUCGCUUGAAAGCCAAAGAUUUAUUGCUGAAAGAUGGCCUCGCGUCUGAUUAGCUAGUUGGUGGGGUAACGGCCCACCAAGGCGACGAUCAGUAGCCGGUCUGAGAGGAUGAACGGCCACAUUGGGACUGAGAUACGGCCCAGACUCCUACGGGAGGCAGCAGUGGGGAAUAUUGGGCAAUGGGGGAAACCCUGACCCAGCAACGCCGCGUGAAGGAAGAAGGCCUUCGGGUUGUAAACUUCUUUUACCAGGGACGAAAAAAGUGACGGUACCUGGAGAAAAAGCAACGGCUAACUACGUGCCAGCAGCCGCGGUAAUACGUAGGUUGCAAGCGUUGUCCGGAUUUACUGGGUGUAAAGGGCGUGUAGGCGGAGAUGCAAGUUGGGAGUGAAAUCCAUGGGCUCAACCCAUGAACUGCUCUCAAAACUGUAUCCCUUGAGUAUCGGAGAGGCAAGCGGAAUUCCUAGUGUAGCGGUGAAAUGCGUAGAUAUUAGGAGGAACACCAGUGGCGAAGGCGGCUUGCUGGACGACAACUGACGCUGAGGCGCGAAAGCGUGGGGAGCAAACAGGAUUAGAUACCCUGGUAGUCCACGCUGUAAACGAUGAAUACUAGGUGGUGGGAGGACUGACCCCUUCCGUGCCGCAGUUACACAAUAAGUAUUCCACCUGGGGAGUACGACCGCAAGGUUGAACUCAAAGGAAUUGACGGGGGCCCCACAAGCAGUGGAUUAUGUGGUUUAAUUCGACGCACCGCGAAGAACCUUACCAGGACUUGCAUCCUACUAACGAAGUAAGAAUCCUUUAGUGGCCUUCUCGGGAAAUUUAAACAAGUGGUGCCUGGUUGCCUCACCUCCGGCCGGGAAAUUUUGGUUUAAUCCCCCACAAGGCCACCCCCAUUGUUAUUGGUCCAAAAAGCCCUUACCGAGAUGCCUUGAAAAACAGAGAAAGGGGGAAAAAUCAAAUUAAUGCCCUUUGUCUGGGCCACCCGAAAAAAUGGUGGGAAAAGGGAAGAAAGCCGCGAGGCAGAGCAAAACCCUAAAAGCCAUCUCAGUUCGGAUUGCAGGCUGCAACUCGCCUGCAUGAAGCUGGAAUUGCUAGUAAUCGCGGAUCAGAAAGCCGCGGUGAAUACGUUCCCGGGCCUUGCACACACCGCCCGUC
rnacentral:rRNA from 1 species